rnacentral:RNase_P_RNA from 2 species
UCUGAGACAGGAGCCAAUGACUGCCCUAGCAGGGCAUCACCCUCUCUGGGUGAAUGAGUGCACAGAGAAUAUUGGCUGUUGUGAGCUGUCUUCACAGGAGAAACCAGCCAGUGUAGCUCUCCAGCACUUCUGGUGGAUGUGACAUCACUGGUUUGGAAUCACUUAUGGUUGGCAUAUGAGUGCAAUGUGUGAAUUGGAGUAUACCUCCAGAACCCAAUUUCAG